rnacentral:rRNA from 1 species
GAUGAACGCUAGCGGCAGGCCUAAUACAUGCAAGCCGAACGGCAAGUCUGAUAGCAAUAUUAGACCUAGAGUGGCGUAAGGGUGCGUAACACGUAUGCAAUCUACCCGCAACAGGAGGAUGGCUCGGGGAAACUCGAAUUAACCCUCCAUAAGAUCUUAGACCGGCAUCGGUUAGAGAUUAAAUCUGAGGAGGUUGCGGAUGAGCAUGCGUCUGAUUAGCUAGUUGGCGGGGUAAUGGCCCACCAAGGCGAUGAUCAGUAGGGGAACUGAGAGGUUGAUCCCCCACACUGGCACUGAGAUACGGGCCAGACUCCUACGGGAGGCAGCAGUAGGGAAUAUUGGACAAUGGGUGAAAGCCUGAUCCAGCCAUGCCGCGUGCAGGAAGAAGGCCUUCUGGGUUGUAAACUGCUUUUAUCUGGGGAUAAAAAGGCCUUGCGAGGCAAACUGAAGGUACCAGAUGAAUAAGCCACGGCUAACUACGUGCCAGCAGCCGCGGUAAUACGUAGGUGGCAAGCGUUGUCCGGAUUUAUUGGGUUUAAAGGGUGCGUAGGCGGUCUAUUAAGUCAGCGGUGAAAGACGAUAGCUUAACUAUCGAGGUGCCAUUGAUACUGAUAGACUUGAGUGUAGUCGAGGUAGGCGGAAUGGACGGUGUAGCGGUGAAAUGCAUAGAUAUCGUCCAGAACACCGAUAGUGAAGACAGCUUACCAGAGUACAACUGACGCUGAGGCACGAAAGUGUGGGGAUCAAACAGG